GGUGCUGUAGUGUAGCCGGUCAUCCAUCAUCACUCAAGCUCAAGAUUCUUAUCGAAUGUAGGAACAGUGGUGAAUUCUUGAAAACCAGGUUCGAUUCCUGGCAGUGCCU
rnacentral:tRNA from 1 species